UACGUAGGUGGCAAGCGUUGUCCGGAUUUAUUGGGCUUAAAGGGUGCGUAGGCGGCCCUGUAAGUCAGUGCUGAAAUAUCCCAGCUUAACUGGGAGGGUGGCAUUGAUACUGCGGGGCUAGAGUACAGAUGAGGUAGGCGGAAUUGACGGUGUAGCGGUGAAAUGCUUAGAUAUGACACAGAACACCGAUUGCGAAGGCAGCUCACAAAACUAUAACUGACGCUGAGGCACGAAAGCGUGGGGAUCAAACAGG
rnacentral:rRNA from 1 species